rnacentral:rRNA from 1 species
UACGGAGGGAGCUAGCGUUAUUCGGAAUUACUGGGCGUAAAGCGUACGUAGGCGGCUUUGUAAGUAAGAGGUGAAAGCCCGGAGCUCAACUCCGGAACUGCCUUUUAGACUGCAUCGCUUGAAUCCAGGGAGAGGUGAGUGGAAUUCCGAGUGUAGAGGUGAAAUUCGUAGAUAUUCGGAAAGAACACCAGUGGCGAAGGCGGCUACACUGGACUUGGUAUUGA